GUGUGGCCGGAGUUCAUCAAAUUGAUGUUGGUCCUUGGACCGAGAACUUUGUUUUGGCUCCGCCUUACUCAACAAGACAUGUUUUAGAUUGAUUUCAAUUAAAAUAUUGAUCUUAAUUGGUUCGUUGAGAGGCUCCAUGCAGCCAAUAUCCAAUAUUCGAGUCCCUUGGACCAAUUGUUGUUGGAUAUCUCAAGCACGGUUGUCUGGAUGAAAAAGAGGAGCCA
rnacentral:lncRNA from 1 species